rnacentral:rRNA from 1 species
CCUACGCGAGGCAGCAGUGAGGAAUAUUGGUCAAUGGCCGUAAGGCUGAACCAGCCAAGUAGCGUGAAGGAAGAAGGAUCUAUGGUUUGUAAACUUCUUUUAUAGGGGAAUAAAGGUAUCCACGUGUGGAUAUUUGCAUGUACCCUAUGAAUAAGCAUCGGCUAACUCCGUGCCAGCAGCCGCGGUAAUACGGAGGAUGCGAGCGUUAUCCGGAUUUAUUGGGUUUAAAGGGUGCGUAGGUUGUUUUUUAAGUCAGCGGUGAAAGUUUGUGGCUCAACCAUAAAAUUGCCGUUGAAACUGGCAGACUUGAGUGUGUUUGAGGUAGGUGGAAUGCGUGGUGUAGCGGUGAAAUGCAUAGAUAUCACGCAGAACUCCGAUUGCGAAGGCAGCUUACUAAGCCAUAACUGACACUGAAGCACGAAAGCGUGGGGAUCAAACAGGAUUAGAUACCCUUGUAGUC